CAGUCGCCGCGGGAAUACGUAGGUCCCGAGCGUUGUCCGGAUUUAUUGGGCGUAAAGCGAGCGCAGGCGGUUAGAUAAGUCUGGAGUUAAAGGCUGUGGCUUAACCAUAGUACGCUUUGGAAACUGUUUAACUUGAGUGCAAGAGGGGAGAGUGGAAUUCCAUGUGUAGCGGUGAAAUGCGUAGAUAUAUGGAGGAACACCGGUGGCGAAAGCGGCUCUCUGGCUUGUAACUGACGCUGAGGCUCGAAAGCGUGGGGAGCAAACAGGAUUAGAUACCCCAGUAGUCCCUGUCUCUUAUACA
rnacentral:rRNA from 1 species